AUCAUUAUGAAACUAGAGAUCCAUGGGACAGCACUAAUAAACAGGAUCUGGAAGAUCACCAUUGCACAUUCAGUAAUAACAUUGAAGCAGAGGAAGCUCAUGAAUCUUUAAGCAAUGACAUUGCAGGGAAUGUUAAUACUGCAGAUACAGUAGAGUGUAACUUCAACUCUUGUCACACUGUAGUGUUCGAAUCGAAGGAUGCUGAAACUUCUUUGCCUCAGAAGCUUUAUGCGAGCAACACAAACUUAGUAAACAAAGAGG
rnacentral:misc_RNA from 1 species